CUUUUUCUGAUAUGCUGGUGUCACCAUAUACAGCAGGUGGGAAGCAAGACUCAGAAUGAGAAGGCUGUGAAGUUCUGCUGGCCCCACUGUUGGUGACACCUCUGCCUAACUCCUAACGGAUGCACUGAGCCCCCAGACCACAGAUCUCUCAUGGGAGAAGGUGAAGAGCAGCCCUCCCUCAAUGUUGCUCUUACAGGGCUUCUCAGAUCCC
rnacentral:lncRNA from 1 species